rnacentral:rRNA from 1 species
CAGUAGCCGCGGUAAUACGUAGGUGGCAAGCGUUGUCCGGAAUUAUUGGGCGUAAAGGGCUCGCAGGCGGUUUCUUAAGUCUGAUGUGAAGGCCCCCGGCUCAACCGGGGACGGUCAUUGGAAACUGGGAAACUUGAGUGCAGAAGAGGAGAGUGGAAUUCCACGUGUAGCGGUGAAAUGCGUAGAGAUAUGGAGGAACACCAGUGGCGAAGGCGACUCUCUGGUCAGUAACUGACGCUGAGGAGCGAAAGCGUGGGGAGCGAACAGGAUUAGAUACCCCUGUAGUCCCUGUCUCUUAUAC